CCUACGGGUGGCAGCAGUGGGGAAUAUUGCACAAUGGGGGAAACCCUGAUGCAGCGACGCCGCGUGAGUGAAGAAGUAAUUCGGUACGUAAAGCUCUAUUAGCAGGGAAGAAAAAGACGGUACCUGAGUAAGAAGCUACGGCUAACUACGUGCAAGCAGCCGCGGUAAUAUGUAGGAGGCAAGGGUUAUCCGGAUUUACUGGGUGUAAAGGGAGCGUAGAGGGUUCGCUAAGUCAGGAGUGAAAUGCCGCGGCUUAAUUGCGGAACUGCAUUUGAAACUGGCGAACUAGAGUGCAGGAGAGGUGAGCGGAAUUCGUGGUGUAGCGGUGAAAUGCGUAGAUAUUACGAAGAACACCGAUGGCGAAGGCAGCUUACUGGACCGUAACUGACGUUGAGGCUCGAAAGCGUGGGUAGCAAACAGGAUUAGAUACCCGUGUAGUC
rnacentral:rRNA from 1 species